rnacentral:rRNA from 1 species
AGCCACUGCUAUUGGGGUCCGAUUAAGCCAUGCAAGUCGAACGAAUGUCUUCGGAUAUUCGUGGCAAACGGCUCAAUAACACGUGGAUAACCUACCCUUAGGACUGGGAUAACCCCGGGAAACUGGGGACAAUACCAGAUACAUAGAGAUUCCUGGAAUGGUCCUCUAAUUAAAUGUUCCGACGCCUAAGGAUGGAUCUGCGGCAGAUUAGGUAGUUGGUGGGGUAAAGGCCCACCAAGCCUUUGAUCUGUACGGGUUGUGAGAGCAAGAGCCCGGAGAUGGAACCUGAGACAAGGUUCCAGGCCCUACGGGGCGCACCAGGCGCGAAACCUCCGCAAUGCGAGCAAUCGCGACGGGGGGACCCCAAGUGCCACUCUUAACGGGGUGGCUUUUCUGAAGGGUAAAAAGCUUUAGGAAUAAGGGUUGGGCAAGACCGGUGCCAGCCGCCGCGGUAACACCGGCAGCUCAAGUGGUGGCCAUUAUUAUUGGGCCUCAAGCGCUCGUAGGCGGUUUGAUAAGUCUCUGGUGAAAUCCCGCAGCUUAACUGUGGUACUUGCUGGAGAUACCCUUAAACUUGAGGUCAGGAGAGGUUAGGGGUACUCCCGGGGGAUGGGGUGAAAUACCUAUAAUCCUGGGAGGAGCCCC